AAGGUGGAACAUGUACCUAUUUGUUGAAACUCUCUUGCCUGGGUCUUGUCCUAAGGGAAGGUUGUGACAUAUGCCUGGACCCAGCCUCAAGAGUGACCUGGGAGCACCUUUGUUGUGCCAUCUAUAGCAAAAAGACACUUGGGUGCAAGUGGGAAUCUUGAGUCACUUUGAGGAGCAUUGCACAAAGCCCUAUGUCUUCAGCCAAGUGCACCCUUUCCUUUUCUGGCUCCAGGAAGUGACAUGGCCUAGCCAUGCAUCCUGGCACCACCAAGGGCCCGUGACUGCCUCUGCUUCCAUGUCCCUUUCAGUCUCUACCUCUACAAAUGCCUCAGCUUUUACCUCCACUCCCAAUUCCAUUCGGCCACACUACAUCUCUCUGCCACAGCCUCAGAGAAUCCUGAAGACACUGCUGUGAUUAUUGGCCUGACGCACCCUGUGGUACCACUGAGAGUUGUGAAGUUGUCUACCAUUCUACUGCAUGAGUUGCAGUAGAACCCCUGGCUGGUGAGAGGGGCAGCAAGAAAUGACCUGACAUUGCUACUCCUCCAAGAUGUCCAGACUACCAUUCGGCUCUUAGUACCCUUAGGGAGAGACUGAUGAGAAUCCAGAAAUGUUAAAGAUGCAAGUGAUGGAAGCUUCCAGCUGUGCCCACCUGUAACCUGACAUAGUUCCAUUGUUUGCUUCAUUACUCAGGCCAAAGACUCUAAUGCAAAUGUGGUACACAGUCACAUGUUUUUCUAUCUACAUGAUAGAAACUAUAACUUCAUCCCUAUAUAAAAGGGUAUACAGCGUAUGACUAAAUGAUAAAUAUACGUGAAUCACUGAUCAGUAAGAAACCAUUUUAAAAGUCUUUAACUACAGAACAAAAUCUCUGAAAAAAAUUGUUGUUAAUCUCUGAGUUUUCUUACAUGGGUAAUUAAUCUCUAGUCAUACUAAAUAGCUAGUAUGCUGCUCUUCAAACAAAUCAGAUAUUUUAUAUAAUUUCCAUAUUCUAAUAAUAGUAUCUUUACACCUCAGAGUUUUAAACAAGUCCAACCUUUUUCUACUUCCCCAAUUAAAAUAACUUUUUAAGGUUUAACCUUCAGUGAUUUUUGUAGUAAUAUUUUUGAAGGUAUUUGAUCAGGAUGCUUUACUUAUGUACUUAUCUGAUGUCUCCCUUUGUUCUGUAUACAUAUUUUAUUACACACUUAUUAGAUCUAAGUUUAAGAAGUUGGAACAGGGAUUUAAAUCCAAAUUAUAUAUUUUAAUUUACAGGAGUCAGUGUGUCCAGGAAGUGACAUUAUCUGCAGACCAAUACUGGCAAUGGCAGUUGGAGACAAAUAGGCUUCACCAGUCUCAAAGCCCUACCUACUACAAUGAGUCCACACUUCUCCUGGAUUUUAUCUACUUCAGCAAAAGAAGGCCACCCACCAAACCAGGCCAUUGUGCUUUGGGUGGAAACUCCUAAGUCCUAUAGUCUCCUUAAACAGCCAACCACACUGCCACUUUCCUCAAUAAUUACUGCAGCCCUGAGACUUUGGUAGCCUAGUAACUAUAACUACUGAUGCUACAGUCUGGUCACAGUAUGAUAAAACACCAGAGCAACAAAAACAAAAAUAUUGACUUAAGCCUUCUAAAAUCUCUCUAAAUAUACCUUCAAUAAAUAUGUUUUUUUCUACAGAACAACUGCUUUCUACUUCCUGAACUAACGUUUGGCCUUGGAUUUUUCUCAUUGUUGAAAUUGAUUCAAAAGUAUACAUUUAACAUGAAGGUGAUUAUAGAAUUUCAUGUGUCAGCAACUAAAAUUUUCAAAAUGAU
rnacentral:lncRNA from 10 species